GUACUGUAAGAAUAAGGACCGGCUAACUCCGUGCCAGCAGCCGCGGUAAUACGGAGGGUCCAAGCGUUAUCCGGAAUCAUUGGGUUUAAAGGGUCCGUAGGCGGGCAAUUAAGUCAGAGGUGAAAUCCCACAGCUCAACUGUGGAACUGCCUUUGAUACUGGUUGUCUUGAGUUAUAGUGAAGUAGAUAGAAUAUGUAGUGUAGCGGUGAAAUGCAUAGAUAUUACAUAGAAUACCGAUUGCGAAGGCAGUCUACUAACUGUAUACUGACGCUAAUGGACGAAAGCGUGGGGAGCGAACAGGAUUAGAUACCCUGGUAGUCCACGCCGUAAACGAUGGUCACUAGUUGUUGGGGUCUUGUACCUCAGUGAUUAAGAGAAAUUGAUAAGUGACCCACCUGGGGAGUACGAUCGCAAGAUU
rnacentral:rRNA from 1 species